UUUUCGCAUAUUCUAUGUUGUAGGAAUGGAGAGAUCAGUUUGGUUGUGGUGAGGACAUGGAAUGUUGGAGUGUGCAGCUUGGCAUACUGAUUCACUCCUGUCAUGGACCACAGCUUUCAAGUAUGGCUCUUGACAGGGAUGAACUGGAUGAACUCUUCCAGAUAGCUGGGGCUGGAGAUACAUGACAACAUUUCUCAGUGCCAUGCAUCGAUGCUGAUAUGAGCUGGAGGACAUCCUCAUGUGACAUGAGUCAUCGACCAGAGCCUUCAAGUGUGGCUGUUGACAGCUGUGGACAAAACGGACUUCGCAGCCAUAGAACAACAUGAGUCACUUCUCUUCUGCUUCUGCUACAACGUCAUCUUCUUCUUCUGCUACUACUGAUACUGUUGCUGCAGCCUAUUCUUCUUUGCUGAGAAAUCAACACUUUUGGGCCUUAGUAGCUGAUUGCUGAUCAUUGCUGUAAUAAGGUGUUACAUCUGUGAGUUCUCUUAGAUUAUGAUGAUCAUCUUUUUCU